AAAUCGUGAACGGUGCGUUCAUGUCGAGCGUAUUCGCACCUCGGUCGUAAAUGCCGCUCGUCGCAUCGACCGUGGCGAUCAGCGUA
rnacentral:sRNA from 1 species